rnacentral:rRNA from 1 species
AUUGAACGCUGGCGGCAGGCCUAACACAUGCAAGUCGAACGAGUGGCGGACGGGUGAGUAAUGUCUGGGAAACUGCCUGAUGGAGGGGGAUAACUACUGGAAACGGUAGCUAAUACCGCAUACCAUCAGAUGUGCCCAGAUGGGUUUAGCUAGGUGGGGGGGUAACGGCUGACCAAGGCGACGAACCCUAGCUGGUCUGAGAGGAUGACCAGCCACACGGGAACUGUGACACGGUCCAGACUCCUACGGGAGGCAGCAUUGGGGAAUAUUGCACAAUGGGCGCAAGCCUGAUGCAGCCAUGCCGCGUGGAUGAAGAAGGCCUUCGGGUUGUAGAGUACUUUCAGCGGGGAGGCGUUACCCGCAGAAGAAGCACCGGCUAACUCCGUGCCAGCAGCCGCGGUAAUUC